GAUUAACGCUGGCGGCGUGCAUGAGACAUGCAAGUCGAACGGACGAGUGGGCUUGCUCACUCGUUAGUGGCGGACGGCUGAGUAACGCGUAGGUGACCUGCCCCGAAGUGGGGAAUAACUGCCCGAAAGGGUGGCUAAUACCGCAUACGGUGACGUGUUCGUUCACGUCACCAAAGCCGCAAGGCGCUUCGGGAGGGGCCUGCGUCCGAUUAGCUCGUUGGUGGGGUAAUGGCUCACCAAGGCGACGAUCGGUAGGUGGUCUGAGAGGACGAUCACCCAGACUGGGACUGAGACACGGCCCAGACUCCUACGGGAGGCUG
rnacentral:rRNA from 1 species